rnacentral:rRNA from 1 species
CCUACGGGUGGCUGCAGUGAGGAAUAUUGGUCAAUGGCCGAGAGGCUGAACCAGCCAAGUCGCGUGCGGGACGCAUGUCCUAAGGAUUGUAAACCUCUUUUGUCGGGGAGCAAAAAGGCUCUGCGGCGUCGUAUUGAGAGUACCCGAAGAAAAAGCAUCGGCUAACUCCGUGCCAGCAGCCGCGGUGAUACGGAGGAUGCGAGCGUUAUCCGGAGUUAUUGGGUUUAAAGGGUGCGCAGGCGGCGGGUCAAGCAAGCGGUAAACUAGCGGGGCGCAACCCCGUCGAGCCGUUUGAACUGGCGCGCGUGAGUUCAGGCGAGGUAGGCGGAAUGCGUGGUGUAGCGGUGAAAUGCAUAGAUAUCACGAAGAACUCCGAUUGCGAAGGCAGCUUACCAGUCUGCGACUGACGCUCAGGCACGAAAGUGUGGGUAUCGAACAGGAUUAGAUACCCCAGUAGUC